UAAGGAAUAUUGGUCAAUGGUGGGAACACUGAACCAGCCAUUCCGCGUGAAGGAUGAAUGCCCUCUGGGUUGUAAACUUCUUUAGUCUGGGACGAAAAAGCUUCAUUCAUGAAGAACUGACGGUACCAGAAGAAUAAGCACCGGCUAACUCCGUGCCAGCAGCCGCGGUAAUACGGAGGGUGCAAGCGUUAUCCGGAAUCACUGGGUUUAAAGGGUGCGUAGGCGGCGUUAUAAGUCAGGAGUGAAAUUCCACGGCUCAACUGUAGGAACUGCUUUUGAUACUGUAAUGCUUGAACCAAGAUGAGGUAGGCGGAAUGUGACAUGUAGCGGUGAAAUGCAUAGAUAUGUCAUAGAACACCAAUUGCGAAGGCAGCUUACUAGACUUGAGUUGACGCUGAGGCACGAAAGCGUGGGGAGCAAACAGG
rnacentral:rRNA from 1 species